GCAGGCUCUCUGGAGGAGCUCUAACCGAGGAGACACUGAUGCGUCCUCCACGGCUCCUCUGCGGAUGCAUUUCCGGGAACGGUGGAGUACAAAAGAGGCGUGACACACCGCUGGAAUCAUUUAAAAACCAUGGCGGGAGCAAAGCACACAUGUAAGUGUUGAUAAUGAAGAAGUGAAAUGCGCGAUUAAACUGCAUUCCUUAUUGACAUUUCACCUGAUAUUCGUUAUGUAUGUAUCCACAUUUUAACUACACCCAAUCCUGGUAUAAGCAUGCCAUGAUGUUUAAAAGUGCAAACCGAUAUUUAUUGUUAAGAGUAUUAAAUCAACACAAACUUUGUUUAGCAUUCAGCACUAUCAUUUGGUUUGGGCUAUGUUGUUAUAUACACUAGAAUCGCUCAUUACAGAGUCUGUAAAUCUUCCAAAAAUAUUUAAGCUACACCUUUUACUUUUCACAGGGACAGAGGAACACACUCUGACCCUCAUUAACGUGAGGUCAGAGAAUGACCAGCUUUUUACAAGCCGAAGGCACACUGCAAAGAAAGCCUGGGAGGAAAUUCUAAAAUUCUAAAGGCCCAAAGGCUGUGCGGUUUGGUAACCCCCACACAGAUCGGGAAAAAGUGGGACAACUUAAAAAGAAAAUACAAGGAGUUGAGAUGCCCCCCAACCGGGACAGGGACCGACAGGGGAGAGGCCACAGCAGCCACAUGGCCGUAUUUUACGGCCAUGCAUGAGGCCAUCGGUGGGCCAUCGGUGGGAGGCCAUCCAUCAACCCUCCCACCCUGAUGGACUCGGCCACUGCUGCUGUGGCUUCUGGCAGUGGCUCAACAUCCACUGAGGCUGUCCAGAGCCAGGCCACAGUGGAGGAUGAGGAGGCCGCCAAGUCUGGCUCGGACAAGCAGGAGGAUGUUGAGCCAUCCACCUCUGCCACUCCCCUUCCCCGGAAAAAAAAAA